AUACGUAGGGGGCGAGCGUUGUCCGGAACGAUUGGGCGUAAAGGGCGCGUAGGCGGCCCGGUAAGUCUGGAGUGAAAGUCCUGUUUUUAAGAUGGGAAUUGCUUUGGAUACUGUCGGGCUUGAGUGCAGGAGAGGUAAGUGGAAUUCCCAGUGUAGCGGUGAAAUGCGUAGAGAUUGGGAGGAACACCAGUGGCGAAGGCGACUUACUGGACUGUAACUGACGCUGAGGCGCGAAAGCGUGGGGAGCAAACAGGAUUAGAUACCCUGGUAGUCCACGCUAUAAACGAUGAAUACUAGGUGUAGGGGGUAUCGACCCCCUCUGUGCCGACGUUAACACAUUAAGUAUUCCACCUGGGGAGUACGGCCGCAAGGCUGAAACUCAAAGGAAUUGACGGGG
rnacentral:rRNA from 1 species